CAUCACAUCAUAGUUCUCUGCAUCCACUCUUCAUCAAGUUGACAUUUUUGAAUUCAUUUUCAAACUUUGUCCCAUUUUCUUCAUCCCUCCCAAACGUUCCCUCGAAGUCCUUCGCCCCCCACCACCAACUCAAUCUCACAUCGAAAUCCACGGGCUCGUAACUAUAUAAUACGAGACACGGGACAAACGGGAACAAAUGAUCUGAACGAAUGUUAGAUAAAAUCAACGCAUACCUGUAUCAUGUUAUCGAAUCUUGAGCGGAGACUCGGCCAGGCUCUACUCGAGCAUCCAUCCCGACAUGGCUACCGCUAUACCAAGGAAGCCCGCCAGGACCUCCUCGAGCUCCUCUUCCACUGUAUGACUGGUUACAACGAAGAAUACCUUCGCCUACUAUUCCCCAACGGCUUUUCAGAGAGCGAAUGGAA
rnacentral:sRNA from 2 species